GACGAACGCUGGCGGCGUGCCUAAUACAUGCAAGUCGAACGCAGUGGGGAUGGGUGAGUAACACCUGGGUAACCUCCCAUCAGAGGGGAUAAAACGUGGAAACAGGUGCUAAACCGACACUGAUGGAUGGACCAGCGGUGCAUUAGCUAGUUGGGGGGGUAACGGCUCACCAAGGCCUCGAUGCAUAGCCGACCUGAGAGGGUGAUCGGCCACACUGGGACUGAGACACGGCACAAACUCCUACGGGAGGCAGCAGUAGGGAAUCUUCGGCAAUGGACGAAAGUCUGACCGAGCAACGCCGCGUGUGUGAAGAAGGUCUUCGGAUCGUAAAGCUCUGUUAUUAGAGAAGCGGUAUCUAACCAGAAAGCCACGGCUAACUACGUGCCAGCAGCCGCGGUAAUUC
rnacentral:rRNA from 1 species